rnacentral:rRNA from 1 species
GACGAACGCUGGCGGCGUGGAUUAGGCAUGCAAGUCGAACGGUAUCAUCCUUUCGGGGGUGAGAGAGUGGCGAACUGGUGAGUAACACGUAGGUUAUCUACCCUCAAGACGGGGACAACCCAGGGAAACUUGGGCUAAUACCGGAUGUGAGCAACUUUUAGUUGUUUGAAAGGUGGCGUAAGCUGUCGCUUGGGGAUGAGCCUGCGUCCUAUUAGUUAGUUGGUGAGGUAACGGCUCACCUAGGCAAUGAUAGGUAGGCGGCCUUAACGGGUGGUCGCCCACACUGGGAUUGAGAUACGGCCCAGACUCCUACGGGAGGCAGCAGUCGAGAAUAGUCUACAAUGGUCGGAAGACUGAUAGUGCGACGCCGCGUGAACGAUGAAUCCCUUCGGGGUUAAAGUUCUUUUAUAUGUGAGCAGUGCUUCUUAUAUUAACAGUAUGGGGAAGAGAUAUUAGCAUAUGAAUAAGCAACGGCUAACUCCGUGCCAGCAGCCGGGUAA